CUUCGUAUUUGCGUGCAUUCAGUAUUUCACUCAGUUUUUAAUACCAUCAGGAUUGUUGAACCUGUUGUUAUAACAUGGGAUAUCACAGGAAUGAUGAUUUUCAAUGUUUAUACCACCAUAAUUUUCUUUGUCCUCUACCAUCUGAUCAGGCAUCUGCUUAUCUACCAUGUCAAAUUCAUCCUUCUGCAAGAAAUUUCUUGGUGCAGCAGCAGCAGUUAGAAAGGAGGAUGUAGCUAUGGAUAUCAUCAUCACCAUAACGAUACCAAUCGCCAUCUUGGCCAUUUUCUUCUUUAGUUCUAUUUACUGAUCAGCAGUCAGCAAGACAGUAGCAGUAUAUAUAUGACCUGCAUGCAGGAAUAAAAUCAUAAGUAAUAAAAUCUAGGAAUUGAAGCUAAGUAGAUAAAAAAAAUGUAGAGCUGUUGAUUGUUACCCAAGAAAUGGCUGAAA
rnacentral:lncRNA from 1 species